UCCAUUUAUAAAAACACCCUUAAUUUUCUUUGAGAAAGCUGGAAUAGCCACUAUUAAUGCUGCAGCAAACGCACAUGGCUAUGCACUUGACCUAAGGAUUGCUGAGUUUUGGUGGCAUUUAAUCACAUCAAUAUGGGGGGGAAGAGGCAGGGAGCCAGGAAAACAUCACUGUGUGCCUUCAGAAAACUUGUUAUUUUUAACAGUGCAGCUUAAGAUCAGCAGCCCUGAAGCAAAAUGGUCAGAACAUUUUCUUCCACCGGUGCUGACAGCACACCAAGAGCUUUCAGAGGCUGGAGAAACAGAGGCUGAUCUAUGAAGCCUCACCUCUCCCUGCAAUCCCUGCUAUGUCACCAGUGGAUGUAAAACUGCAAAAACCAACAGAGGACAAGAAACACUUGGGAAAUGCAUCACACCCAGUCCUGCAGAUCUGGAGAUCUCUGCCUUUGCUAGCCCUGGUUAUUUCACAGCUGGACCAGUUUGCUGAUCUGAACCACCCCUGGUAGCACAAAGUCAAUACAUUUCCAAUCUGCCAAGACAAAGAAAACAACUUCUGUAUAUAAUAAUGAAGAGAUGAAACUGCAAAGAUAAAUAAAACUGUCUGGAUUAGGACCUCCAGCUGUCAAGGCUGCAUCUUGACUUUCAAACAGCAUCACCUGCAGCACAGAACCUGCUCAUCCCAAAUCAAACUCAUGGGACACCAAGGUCAUAAUUUGCCCAUCUUUUGAGGAAUUUCUUUGGCUCUCAGGUAACCCAGAAUCAUAACUAACAGUGACAGCAGGAGGAGGCACAAAUGGAGACCAAACUGGGAGAAUGUCCCUAUGUGAAAGCCUUUAGUAGCCAAGGAGGGACCAUGAGUGACCACAGGCUCCCACAGAAUGACUGGUGUCAUUAAAUUCUACAUCAACCAGAGUCCAGUUUGACCUAAUAUUCAGGGUGGGGGAAAAAAGUAAUUACAUCAACAUCAAGCUAUUACCUGUCCAAGGGCAUAAGUGCCUAGUUCAUUAGCAACUCAGACAAACUUGUUUUGUAAGCUCCCUAUAUUAAAUUUGAAAUUUCCCUGCCCUUACAAAUUAAACUAACAAUUUGUGACACAAACAUGAGUAUAUGGACAAGAAAUCUUCCAACCUGCUCAAAUCCAAUGUGUACUUUGCCAUCCUGAAUAAGAACAAACUUAUUAGCCAACCUGACUUUAGUAUCUAAUUCAUUUAAAUAAAUUUAAAAAUAUUUUUUAAAUGAAUACUAGCAGUACUCCAGAUUUAUUGAAUCUUAGAGCAAAACCUACUGAUCUUUAAAAAUAUAUAUUUUUCAUAUUUCAUGGCUUAGUUCUACAGAAUAAGGGCAACAUGUCAUUUUAGGAACAUUGCUCUUUAAUGCUGGAAGUGGGGCUUUAUAACAAUUGAGAAGCUGCCACAGUACCAUUAAUAAUUUGGAUUUCCAACAUCCUUAGGUACCUUAAGAGAUGGAUGACCACACCAAAUUAAUUUAAUUUCUAUUUCAGCUUUCCUCCUCAUUAAUGAGGAGCUGAGACUCUCACAGAUGAGAGUUCCUCUACCCAAUCACAAUGAAAAGUCACCACCUGUGCUGCCCAUAUUAAAAUCAGAGGGGAGAUUUUCUUCUUUUUACCCAGAGGGAACCCUAAAUUUACCAGAUCAAUACUUUCUAAAACACACUUCACUCAGAAAAUGAGAACAAAGCUGCCAGAGUGAUUUCAGGGAGUGAUAAAAAGACUGUCAGGGAAACUCACUGAGCUGCCCCUGGAAGAACUGAUGACCAAGCAGGCACCAGGCAAUUGCAUCAUGUUUAUUACACAGCCAAGGGCAAGCAGAUCCUUCUGGUUUAAUCAAUGGCCUCCAAAGGAGGAAGUAGUUUGAAAAUAGUAAGCAUAAAACAAAAUACUCUUUUGGGUUCACUUUUUGAAUUUUCUCUGAUGUGUGAAAUCAUGUCCAUUAAUAAAGCUGAGCACAUGCUGAAAGAGAACUUCAUAAAAAUCUACUUCUUGAACACCUUUGAUGCCAAAACUGCACUUUUAUUCAAACUCAGUUUGGUGUAAAUGCUGUGAGUGAACUGUAGAGGGGUCCUGUUAAAAAACUCUGAGCUUGUCUUAAAACAAAAGAUAUAUUUCCUAUUUAAAACCAUUAACCUUAGACACCUUUUUUUUUUG